rnacentral:hammerhead_ribozyme from 1 species
AUCCAGCUGACGAGUUCGAAACAGGACCUGACGCGCGUCCUGGAU